AAAAACAUGUCUUUUUGUUUUAUGAUUUAAAGUCUGGCCUGCCCAAUGAUUAAUUUUAAAUGGCUGCAGUAUUUUGACUGUACAAAGGUAGCAUAAUCAUUAGUUUCUUAAUUAGAAGCUGGAAUGAAUGGUUUGAUGAAAAAUUUACUGUCUCAAUUCAAUUGUUUUAGAAUUUUAUUUUUAAGUGAAAAAGCUUAAAUUUUUUAGAAAGACGAGAAGACCCUAUAGAGUUUUAUAUGUUUUUUAUUAUUUAUUAUAUGGUUAUAAUAUUUUUAAUUUUAAAAUUUAUUUUGUUGGGGUGAUGUGAAAAUUUAAAUAACUUUUCUUAAUUUUAACACUAAUUAGUGAUUAAAUGAUCCUUUUUAGGAUUAAAAGAUUAAAUUACCUUAGGGAUAACAGCGUAAUUUUUUUUGAAAGUUCUUAUUGAUAAAAAAGUUUGCGACCUCGAUGUUGGAUUAAAAUUUAUUUUUGGUGUAGAAGCUGGAAAAUUUGGGUCUGUUCGACCCUUAAAAUUUUACAUGAUCUG
rnacentral:rRNA from 1 species